GAUCUNACACGACGCGCNCUUUNUGCCUCUAGCAUUAGCGGUUGNAUUCUAUAGGAUCUCACGCUGGCCGCUCGUUGUGACAGCCUAAUACAUGCAAGUCGAGCGAACAGAGAAGGAGCUUGCUCCUUUGACGUUAGCGGCGGACGGGUGAGUAACACGUGGGCAACCUACCUUAUAGUUUGGGAUAACUCCGGGAAACCGGGGCUAAUACCGAAUAAUCUAUUUUACUUCAUGGUGAAAUACUGAAAGACGGUUUCGGCUGUCGCUAUAAGAUGGGCCCGCGGCGCACUAGCUAGUUGGUGAGGUAACGGCUCACCAAGGCGACGAUGCGUAGCCGACCUGAGAGGGUGAUCGGCCACACUGGGACUGAGACACGGCCCANACUCCUACGGGAGGCAGCAGUAGGGAAUCUUCCACAAUGGGCGAAAGCCUGAUGGAGCAACGCCGCGUGAGUGAAGAAGGUUUUCGGAUCGUAAAACUCUGUUGUAAGGGAAGAACAAGUACAGUAGUAACUGGCUGUACCUUGACGGUACCUUAUUAGAAAGCCACGGCUAACUACGUGCCAGCAGCCGCGGUAAUACGUAGGUGGCACGCGUUGUCCGGAACUUAUUGGGCGUAAAGCGCGCGCAGGCGGUCCUUUAAGUCUGAUGUUGAAAGCCCCGGGUUCAACCGGUGGGAGGGUCUUGGACACCUGGGGGGCAUUGCAGUCCGAGACGGCAAGUGGGAAUUCCCAAAGUGUUACGGGUGACAUGCNUAAGCAUUUGGACGAACCCAUUGAGAAAGGCNAUUUGGUCUGGACUGAGCUGAGACAACAGCNUGGGCGCACACGGUAAACCCGGAUCAACCCGAAACAANNAACAUUGGGGCCCCUAAGCGGCAAGCUACACCAGGAAGGCCAAAACAAAGGGCCCACGGAUGUACAAAACCNGNCAUACGAGNG
rnacentral:rRNA from 1 species